GUACUAUUAUAUGUUUUAUAAAUUCAGUUAUAAUUUAAUUCAUCUUGUUAUUUAGUGGAAUAUAAUUUAUUUCAGUUUUUCUAAUGCAGUUUGGAAGCCACUUGGAGUAAACCUUUCGUCAGUUACUCACAAAAAAAGAUUGGCAAAUCUAGUCCUGAGAGAUCACUUUUUUUGUCAAGGAAAUACUGGAAAUUGGUAUUGAAAAGGUAUUCAACCAUGGCAUGUUGACCAGCUAUCUGCGGAGUGAAAAUCUACUUGACAGUGUUCAACCAGUUAAGUACAUUUUACAAAAGAUUCUGAGAAUUGCAAAAGUUAUGUGAACAAAUUUUGUAUUGGAGAAAUUCUAGGUAAAAUGAAAGCCAUUUCACAAUACAGCUGAAUAGCUAUGAAAUGCAACCAAUCCAGGAACUGAGUGUGUUGAACAACCAAACUUAUCUUGGAGAGCUGCAGAAAGAGAAUGGAACAUUACCCUGCCAAACACCUGCUUCCAAAUGGUCAAUGGCAGGGGUCUUAUUCACUGUCUGAUGAAUUUAAGUUUAAACAAGAUAUUGCUUUUGAUUACCUCUGCUGAGCUGCUUAGGAAGUUAGCUAGAGUGACGAAGAUGUGUCAUCACAGCAGAAUAAGUGUAAAAAGCAAGUUGUUCAGCAAAACGAGUGCCUUGCAUUAUUUACCACUAUUUUACGAUAUUGAGCUGAUGAUACCUGGUAAACCUGCAAUUUGUUUUUAUGUAGACUUCAUGGUUUUUGAGUUACGUCAAAAAUAAAAAUAGGUACGAUAGAAA